GGGGUUGUGGCUCAGUGGUAGAGCACUCAACUGGCACAUGUGAGGCACUGGGUUCAAUUAUCAGCACCACA
rnacentral:tRNA from 1 species